UACGAAGGGGGCAAGCGUUGUUCGGAAUUACUGGGCGUAAAGGGCGCGUAGGCGGUGCUCUAAGUCAGGCGUGAAAGCCCUGGGCUCAACCCGGGAAUUGCGCUUGAUACUGGAGCGCUUGAAUCCAGGAGAGGUUGGUGGAAUUCCCAGUGUAGAGGUGAAAUUCGUAGAGAUUGGGAAGAACACCGGUGGCGAAGGCGGCCAACUGGACUGGUAUUGACGCUGAGGCGCGAAAGCGUGGGGAGCGAACAGG
rnacentral:rRNA from 1 species